rnacentral:rRNA from 1 species
UACGUAGGGUGCAAGCGUUGUCCGGAAUUAUUGGGCGUAAAGGGCUCGUAGGCGGUCCAUCGCGUCGGGUGUGAAAAGCUGGGGCUCAACCCCAGUCCUGCUUUCGAUACGGGUGGACUAGAGGUAGGCAGGGGAGAACGGAAUUCCUGGUGUAGCGGUGAAAUGCGCAGAUAUCGGGAGGAACACCGGUGGCGAAGGCGGCCUUCUGGACGGAUACUGACGCUGAUACGCGAAAGCGUGGGGAGCAAACAGG